UACGGGGGGAGCAAGCGUUGUUCGGAUUUACUGGGCGUAAAGGGCGUGUAGGCGGCCAGCACAAGUCAGUUGUGAAAUCUCCGGGCUUAACUCGGAAAGGUCAACUGAUACUGCGGGGCUAGAGUGCGGAAGGGGCAACUGGAAUUCUCGGUGUAGCGGUGAAAUGCGUAGAUAUCGGGAGGAACACCUGCGGCGAAGGCGGGUUGCUGGGCCGACACUGACGCUGAGGCGCGAAAGCCAGGGGAGCGAACGGG
rnacentral:rRNA from 1 species